CUAAAUCAUUUCUUCAUUUCUCUAGUGCACAAGGGUCAUUGAAGAAACUUUAUUUCGUAAAAUGUCGUUGAUCGAUAUGCUUGAUGUGUAUGUGCAAUGCAUGUCAAGGUUUCCAAAGUAUCCUGAAGGGGAUUCGGCGGUUAACCCUUUUGCAUCCAGUUUAUGGUGGGGGCGAAUCGAACCUAAAGUUUAGUGUGAUAAACACGCUUUGGAAUUUGUGCAAUAUGUUCAUCAUGUUCUUCAUCAUCAUCUUUUUGUUUGAGUAUUUGCAGCAGUCCCCCAACACAAAAUGUUCUAACA
rnacentral:lncRNA from 1 species